UACCAGGAUUUUGGUCUUGUCAAUAUUGAGUCUAAGGCCUAAAGCUUCGUAUAUAUGUUUAUAGGUGUCCAUCAUUAUCUGUAGAUCCUCUGAGCUGCUAGCGAUGAGUGCGAUGAGGAUGAGGAUGAGCGAUGAGGACUACUAAUGAAAUCUGCAGACACAGAAGAUAAAUUAUCUAGCCACGUCAUGAAUAUGGUUACAAAUUAAUUCUUCAUCAUUUCCAAGGAAAAGGAAGAAUAGAGGCAAUUCGACAGAAUGGCGUCAUAGAUAGAAGAUGGCUAGGCAGGAUAAGUUUUCGGAUUUAUUUUGCCGACUAACAAGUGCUAUUGAAAGCAUCCCCAGUCUGGGAAUGACAAUGGUGGCAAUUUUUGCCUAUUUCUGUGAUGUGGUGUAACGAAUAGUAUACAGGGUGUCCGGGGAAUAACUGUACAUACUCUCACCAGAGAUGGAGUUGGACUAGCUGGUUACGGAUUGACUAUAAAAAAUUAAUUUCUGGAUUUCCCAAGAAAACUACAGUAUAUACAUGUUUCAGACAUGGGUUGACAUGAAAAAAAAAAUACUGAAUGAAAAUUCGUAAAAGAGUGAAAUCAUGCAAGGGGGGUACUGGAGGUGGUCCUCCUUUGCCACCAAGUAUAGAAGCUAGUUAUUUGGACAGACAAAUCCUAUCCAUCAUUCCUAUAGUAACUAUUCAAUACUCAGGAAUCCGAAGAAGUUUCAUUCUUGGAAGAAGAUCUUUUAUAUGAAGGUCAUGAAAGUGUAGCUAAAAAAAACCACAUUCCAACACAGGUUGCACUCAGGGAACACCAGUAUUGCUCUAAUAGCGCCACACAAAAUACUGCCCCAACACUCCCCCAUACCAUAACGAGUACGAAGACUACCAAAAGUCUUUACGAAGAAUACCAAAAGUCUUCCUCACACUGAAACUGGUUGGGAGACUUCCCCGACAUCAGUACCUAGUACAACAUCUGGGCCAAUCCUGGUUCAAAGUGAAGCCAGCAGUGGCAGUGGCAAAAAAUCUACUGGGACUCCAAUACACAAAAAGAGAAGAAGCAACAAAACAAACAGGUUGGAAGAAUCCCUGAAAACCAACAGCAGAUUCAUAGAUUUGAAUUCUGAGAAAUUCAAAAGUGACAAGAUUUAUCAAAAUAAAAAAAUUUCGCUGAUGGAAAAGAUGUUGAAAAAUAAAGAAAUUUUUGAAAAUAGAGUAGCAUCUGCAUUAGAAAAAAUGGCAGAUAGUUUAGUGAAAAUUGCCUCUGCAAACAGUGCCUAUAACCGUCUGUGAUAUUUUGAAAUCAUAUUAAAUAUAUGUUUCUUUUGAACAUUUCACCCUGAUUACUAUACUUUUCGUUUUUUUCUCGUAGUGUUAUUAGAUUUUUAUUUGUAUAAGUUUUUCUUUAUUUCAGUCAAGAUUUAUUUAUAAUCAUUCAUUAACUGAAAUAUGAAGUUAUUUUAUACUUUUCGUUUGUUUCUCGUAGUGUUAUUAGAUUUCCAAAUAUUUGUAUAAGUUUUUCUUUAUUUCAGUCAAGAUUUAUUUAUAAUAAUUUAUUUACUGCAAUAUGAAGUUAUUUUUUGUUAAUUUGAAG